GGAGGGAUGGCCGAGCGGACGAAGGCGGCAGUCUCGAAAACUGUUGUACCGUUUUUUGCGGUACCGUGGGUUCGAAUCCCACUCCCUCCGCCA
rnacentral:tRNA from 1 species